AUCUGACUUAGUUAAGGGGUGCACAUAAAAGGAAGGUUUCUUCCUAUGAGGCCGUUUGAGGGGACUCUCACUCAUCUCUCCAUGUGGUAUCCCUCAAGCAGCCUUGUACAUAA